AAAAUUCAAAAAUACUACCAGAAGGCAGAGCAAGGCAGAGAUACUUACCUGAGCAGAAAAUCCUGCUGUUCUUUUUUUCCAGAGGUCAUAUUCUGCCUGAGGAUACUUGUCUGCAGCACAGUCCUGAAUGGCCAAGGCAGAGAAGUCCACCAGUGUUACUGACUCUUGCCCAUCUGGGGCUCUUCCCUGGCCACUUCACUUCCUUUGGUUUAGCCUCUUGACCGUGCUCUUGUGUUCAAGCCCUCUGAUUAUUUGUAGUGGUAUUUCUCUCUCAAGAGCUUGUAUAUAUUAUUGUGCCCUUUGCAAACAGCUCUUUCCAUCCUCUGAUUUCCUUUCUUGAUUCCAGGGCCUGUUAAAUUGCUGUGAUCGUCUGUUGGGGUGGUUAUAUGUUUCAAUUAUAUCAGGAAUAUUUGCUGGUGUAUAGAAAUAUUCAUGGUAUAAUUAGGACAAAAAAAUUUAAUCCCCACAAGGAUUUUUACAACCAUUGAAACUCCCCAGGACUUAAUCACAAGAGUUGGGGAGCAAACUUGGGUAAAUUGAUGAACUGUUUAUUGUCAACCCUUUAUGCCUCUUGGAAAACAAACUGCACAAAUCAGGGUGAUUAUUGUUACUUGUUAGUUUAUUGUGGUAGCUUCUGGACAUUGCAGCUCAGAUCAGGGCACCAUUGUGUUAGGCGCUCUGCACCCCCGCAGCGAGAGCCAGGCUCUGCUUGGAAAUGUUUCGGGGCUGAACAGACCAGAUGGGCAGAGGGUGGGAAGGAGAAAUCUUUGCUCCUGUGAGAACAUGUACUGUAGUCUGUGUGGCCCAUGUCUUGGGGUGUGCUCCCCAGCCCCGUUCCCAGCCCAGAGACCUAUCUGCAAGGUGAGAAAAUGCCCUGGUUUUGUAUCACAUCUGUUUACAUGCUGUAUUUAUCCCUGAUGAUGUUUUUAGGCCAAAUCUUGCCCUUUUUUCUCCUGCUUUCCCGCCUGGUUGCUGUCAUAGCAGGGAAUAUGGUACUCCUGGGACAAAGCCUUGUGUUGGUGGGGUGGGCAGAGGGCACAGAAGGAGAAAGUGAUGAAUGGAGCCUUGGGGUAGGCAAGAGUCUUUAUUCUUGUGUGCUUAAUCAAGGUGAGCGAAGAUGUUUCAGUUUUCGCUUAGCUUCAUGUUCAAAGCAUAGGCAGUGGGCUAGGAGCAGGUUGAGAUGAGCAUCAGGUGGGAGGAGGGCCAGGUGGUCUUACAGGAGCCCCCACAAGGACCCAGCUCAUAGGGAUGCCGCUGAUGUCUCUGUGUGGCACCUGGAUACCGACACCCCUGCAGGCCUCUCACCCUGGCCCCAGGCGGGUCCAGCAACAGCUGCCAUUUCCUAAAAGAUGGGUUUUGGCACUGCAUAUGCAAUUUUGCAGGCAUACUGUGGGCUACUUCUGGGAAUCCACAUGGUCUCUUAGGUAAGUAAAAAUCUCUACAGCCUGCCCUCGAUGUUUGAGCCUCCAAAAUGCUAUGUGCAAAUAUGUGGAUGACCUAAAAUGCGGAUUUUUAUGCAGUAAGAAGAGUUGCAUGCUCAAAACAGUAAAUUUAGAUAUAUUAGGAUAUUUAUUAACCACACGGGGUGUUCCAAGCUCAGUUUAUUUAUCUUUGUAAAGUGCUUCCAGAUCUUUGCAUGGAAGGCACUAGAAAAAUGAAAGGCUUAUUAUUAUUAUUAUUAUUGUUAUUAUUGUUGUUGUUAUUAUUAUUACAGCAUCUAACUACUGACAGGCAACCACAGCUGCAUGCUCAAUUCAAGCCACUUAAAUUUAGGGGCUGAUUUUUACACUAUUGACUCUUAAUACUUUUUCCCAUUGACUCCAUAUGCAGAAAUGUGUGUUCACCUGCCCCGCUGAAGUAUCAUUAUUCUCCAGAAAUAUGUAAAUGGAGUGCUUUUAAAGAAAGGAAGAAAAUGUGGCAUAAAUAUUAAGUGUUCACAUUUAUAUGGUAAAACUCAACUGCCAUUUAAGAAGGGCUUCAAAGCAGCCAACUGUAUGAGCUGGUAGUUGUUUCUCUAUCAUUAAAAGAGAAAAUGCAUUGAUUAAAAUAAAACCAAGGAAUCUUGUAGACAAAGAAUAACAUUUACGGUGUUCUGGGGUCUGAGAUGAGCUACGAGCAGCCCAGGAAAUGGAGCCCUGAGUUUCACAGUCAAGCGGUUUCACCAGCACGGUUGUGCACAGCCGCGUGUGGGUUAUGUAAUCUCACACUUCACCCACCCACACCUAAAGACAACGGGCACCUUCGAAAGGUCUUGGCAUUAUUCAGAGGGAAGGCUCCCAGCAAUACCCCUGCACGGUGUUUAACCUUAUCUCUACUUACCUUUAGGAGUUCCUUUCUCUUUUCUUUCCUCUCCUUCCUUCCUUCUACUUCUUUUUUUUUUUUUUUCCUCCUUUUCUUUCCUGUGGUACAUCAAUAGUGAUAUUUUUGUGUCUCCAAAAAUGGAGCAGAUAUAGGGAGAAAAAUCCCAUUAGCACCAUGAUGUGUUUUCACGGCAGCUCUGAAGGUUCCGGUCAUGGCCGUUUUGUGCAUUUUGUAGCAUUGUCCUCAUGCUGUUAUUUUUUUUUUUUUUUCUUUCUUUCUUUCUUUUUUUUCCCUAAGUAGAGUUGAAAUGUUACAUUCUCAAAACACCAGCUAAGUAUUAAAUAAUACCUAGCCUAUGCUUUCUUUAGGUUUUAAAAUAGAAAAUAAUUAACCAGUGGUUUUAAAGAUCUCCAGAACAGUCAAACAGGCCUAUGAAACCCCAGGAUCUAAUAACAAAAACUGGAUUCUAGUUCAUUACCCUGCAGUAAAGCCAAACAGUCAUCAAUCGCGCUCAUUACAGCCGCUGGCGUUUUGAUUGGCUGCCUGCUGCUGGUAGCCCGCGUCCCCCAUCCUCCCGCUCUCCUCCAUGAGCUGUCGUGUACCUGCCAACAACAACAACAAAAAAAAAAUAUCAACAAUGCAAGAAUAAAUUUCUCCGGUUGAAAAACAACUUUGCAAACUUGUCAAAGAGUCCUUGUCACUUUUUUUUAAAUUUUUUUUGGUUUUACACCAGAAAAAAUAAAUAAAAAAAAAUUAGAAGGGAGAAACUUGAGCUUUAGAGAUGAAUAUUUGUCAAGAGAGUUGACGUAAGUUUCAUUUGCAUAAUGACUUUGUACUUCUGCAUUAAUAAAAUUUGCAUAUGAAGCCA